GUAAACAUAGUUUAUUAAAAUACUAGACCGUGACUCU
rnacentral:tRNA from 1 species